AGUGAACGCUGGCGGUAGGCCUAACACAUGCAAGUCGAACGGCAGCACAGUAAGAGCUUGCUCUUACGGGUGGCGAGUGGCGGACGGGUGAGGAAUACAUCGGAAUCUACUUUUUCGUGGGGAUAACGUAGGGAAACUUACGCUAAUACCGCAUACGACCUACGGGUGAAAGCAGGGGAUCUUCGGACCUUGCGCGAUUGAAUGAGCCGAUGUCGGAUUAGCUAGUUGGCGGGGUAAAGGCCCACCAAGGCGACGAUCCGUAGCUGGUCUGAGAGGAUGAUCAGCCACACUGGAACUGAGACACGGUCCAGACUCCUACGGGAGGCAGCAGUGGGGAAUAUUGGACAGUGGGCGCAAGCCUGAUCCAGCCAUACCGCGUGGGUGAAGAAGGCCUUCGGGUUGUAAAGCCCUUUUGUUGGGAAAGAAAAGCAGCAGGUUAAUACCCCGCUGUUCUGACGGUACCCAAAGAAUAAGCACCGGCUAACUUCGUG
rnacentral:rRNA from 1 species